AACGAACGCUGGCGGCAUGCCUAACACAUGCAAGUCGAACGAAGCCUUCGGACUUAGUGGCGCACGGGCGCGUAACGCGUGGGAAUCUGCCCUUGGGUACGGAAUAACUCAGAGAAAUUUGUGCUAAUACCGUAUAAUGUCUUCGGACCAAAGAUUUAUCGCCCAAGGAUGAGCCCGCGUAAGAUUAGCUAGUUGGUGGGGUAAAAGCCUACCAAGGCGACGAUCUUUAGCUGGUCUGAGAGGAUGAUCAGCCACACUGGGACUGAGACACGGCCCAGACUCCUACGGGAGGCAGCAGUGGGGAAUAUUGGACAAUGGGCGAAAGCCUGAUCCAGCAAUGCCGCGUGAGUGAUGAAGGCCCUAGGGUUGUAAAGCUCUUUUACCAGGGAUGAUAAUGACAGUACCUGGAGAAUAAGCUCCGGCUAACUCCGUG
rnacentral:rRNA from 1 species